UUGAUACGGAAAUGUACAUAUGGUGUGUACAAAUAUGCAAACACCAUUGAUGAGAGUGUUUCCAAAAUUGAAAAAGAUAAAUGAAAUGGAAAUGGGAAACAUUUUUGUAUUUUUCCAUCGAUUACAACAUUAACCGUCAUCUAUUGCGGAAUCUUGAUCCUUAGACCUCGCUUCAACUGACGAUGAUUUGAUUGAUCUUUGACCACCUGACGUCUAGCUUAUAGCGUAAUGGGCUCAAGGAUCAUAG
rnacentral:lncRNA from 1 species